GAAUGAACGCUAGCUACAGGCUUAACACAUGCAAGUCGAGGGGCAGCAUGGUCUUAGCUUGCUAAGGCCGAUGGCGACCGGCGCACGGGUGAGUAACGCGUAUCCAACCUGCCUUACACUCUUGGACAGCCUUCUGAAAGGGAGAUUAAUACAAGAUGUUAUCAUGAGUAAGCAUUUUCGCAUGAUUAAAGGUUUACCGGUGUAAGAUGGGGAUGCGUUCCAUUAGAUAGUAGGCGGGGUAACGGCCCACCUAGUCUUCGAUGGAUAGGGGUUCUGAGAGGAAGGUCCCCCACAUUGGAACUGAGACACGGUCCAAACUCCUACGGGAGGCAGCAGUGAGGAAUAUUGGUCAAUGGACGAGAGUCUGAACCAGCCAAGUAGCGUGAAGGAUGAAGGUUCUAUGGAUUGUAAACUUCUUUUAUACGGGAAUAAACGGAUCCACGUGUGGAUUUUUGCAUGUACCGUAUGAAUAAGGAUCGGCUAACUCCGUGCCAGCAGCCGCGGUAAUACGGAGGAUCCGAGCGUUAUCCGGAUUUAUUGGGUUUAAAGGGAGCGUAGAUGGGUUGUUAAGUCAGUUGUGAAAGUUUGCGGCUCAACCGUAAAAUUGCAAUUGAUACUGGCAGCCUUGAGUACAGUUGAGGUAGGCGGAAUUCGUGGUGUAGCGGUGAAAUGCUUAGAUAUCACGAAGAACUCCGAUUGCGAAGGCAGCUUACUAACCUGUAACUGACAUUGAUGCUCGAAAGUGUGGGUAUCAAACAGGAUUGGAUACCCUGGUAGUCCACACGGUAAACGAUGAAUACUCGCUGUAGGCGAUGUACAGUCUGCGGCCAAGCGAAAGCAUUAAGUAUUCCACCUGGGGAGUACGCCGGCAACGGUGAAACUCAAAGGAAUUGACGGGGGCCCGCACAAGCGGAGGAACAUGUGGUUUAAUUCGAUGAUACGCGAGGAACCUUACCCGGGCUUAAAUUGCAACCGAAUAUGGCGGAAACGCUAUAGCUAGCAAUAGCGGUUGUGAAGGUGCUGCAUGGUUGUCGUCAGCUCGUGCCGUGAGGUGUCGGCUUAAGUGCCAUAACGAGCGCAACCCUUGCCGAUAGUUACUAACAGGUUAUGCUGAGGACUCUGUCGGGACUGCCAUCGUAAGAUGUGAGGAAGGUGGGGAUGACGUCAAAUCAGCACGGCCCUUACGUCCGGGGUUACACACGUGUUACAAUGGGGGGUACAGAGGGCUGCUACCACGCAAGUGGAUGCCAAUCCCAAAAACCUCUCUCAGUUCGGAUUGAAGUCUGCAACCCGACUUCAUGAAGCUGGAUUCGCUAGUAAUCGCGCAUCAGCCACGGCGCGGUGAAUACGUUCCCGGGCCU
rnacentral:rRNA from 1 species